rnacentral:lncRNA from 1 species
UUGGAAUGACAACGCCCGAUUCUUGCUAAUUUAAGAUUGCAAGCAGUCAUCAUUGUUACCUAGGUUGAGUUUCUUCAAUGCUUAUGUGUUUUGAAAUGUUUACUCUAGGAUCCAUUAUGCUUGUAGUUGUUAAAGCCAUUAUAAGCUAAAAAUCUUUAUGUUGAGCAAUGUGAUAUUUAUUAGUAAUGAAUCUUUAUGCUUAUGAUGUGUGUUAGUGAUUGAUUUUAGCAUUUGUGUUAUUGUUA